rnacentral:rRNA from 1 species
GAUGAACGCUAGCUACAGGCUUAACACAUGCAAGUCGAGGGGCAGCAUGAAGUUUGCUUGCAAACUUUGAUGGCGACCGGCGCACGGGUGAGUAACGCGUAUCCAACCUUCCCUAUAGUAGAGGAUAGCCCGGCGAAAGUCGGAUUAAUACUCUAUGUUUUCCAAUGCAGACAUCUAAAAUGGAACAAAGGCUUGCCGCUAUAGGAUGGGGAUGCGUCUGAUUAGGUAGUCGGCGGGGUAACGGCCCACCGAGCCAUCGAUCAGUAGGGGUUCUGAGAGGAAGGUCCCCCACAUUGGAACUGAGACACGGUCCAAACUCC